GCUUUUUUAGACUUCAAAGUAGGACUUUUUCUUCUGUAGAAUUGCAGCUUGGAUCCAUUUACUGGAUUCUUCAUUGGUUACUUCUACAAUUUUGGAUAGGAUUGUGAAGGUUCUCCCCGAUUUGAAAGACUACCUUUGUGUACACAAAGGGACAUAUCUUGUGGACAGAUUUACUCUGCACAAGUGCUUCACAGUGGCUUACUUGUGACAGAGAUCUAGAGCGAAGGUUUCUCAAGAAUGUUAACUUCACUGUGUGUUAAAGCUAGUACUCAUUUAUGUGACGCAACUCAAGUACUCAAUAGAGAAGUUGCCUGAAGCAACAAUCAUGUAUGUGGAGCUCCAAGAUACUGAUAAAGGAACAGAGACCCCUAAUGAUUCAAGAAGAUUUUUGGGAAGCCUUAGUUAGUGUUGGUUUAUGCGCUGUUGUAUUAUGCGAUAUUGAGCCAUUUUUUGUUCUAUUGUGUCCUCUAUUUGAUAAUGUUGUUGCACUUGUAAGCUAAUA